AGAGUUUGAUCCUGGCUCAGGAUGAACGCUAGCGACAGGCUUAACACAUGCAAGUCGAGGGGCAGCGGGGGAGUAGCAAUACUCCCGCCGGCGACCGGCGCACGGGUGAGUAACACGUAUGAAACCUGCCCGUAGCAGGGGGAUAAGCGGAAGAAAUUCCGUCUAAUACCGCGUAACAACCCUUGGAGGCAUCUCCUCGGGUUUAAAGGAAGCGAUUCCGGCUACGGAUGGUCAUGCGUCGCAUUAGCUUGUUGGCGGGGUAACGGCCCACCAAGGCGACGAUGCGUAGGGGUUCUGAGAGGAAGGUCCCCCACACUGGUACUGAGACACGGACCAGACUCCUACGGGAGGCAGCAGUGAGGAAUAUUGGUCAAUGGGCGGGAGCCUGAACCAGCCAAGUCGCGUGAGGGAUGACGGUCCUGUGGAUUGUAAACCUCUUUUGUCAGGGAGCAAAGGGCGUCACGUGUGGCGCUUUGCGAGUACCUGAAGAAAAAGCAUCGGCUAACUCCGUGCCAGCAGCCGCGGUAAUACGGAGGAUGCGAGCGUUAUCCGGAUUUAUUGGGUUUAAAGGGUGCGCAGGCGGAAUGUCAAGUCAGCGGUAAAAUUUCGGGGCUCAACCCCGUCGUGCCGUUGAAACUGGCGUUCUUGAGUGAGCGAGAAGUAUGCGGAAUGCGUGGUGUAGCGGUGAAAUGCAUAGAUAUCACGCAGAACUCCGAUUGCGAAGGCAGCAUACCGGCGCCCAACUGACGCUGAAGCACGAAAGCGUGGGUAUCGAACAGGAUUAGAUACCCUGGUAGUCCACGCAGUAAACGAUGAAUACUAGCUGUCCGGGGCGAAUGAGCCCUGGGUGGCACAGCGAAAGCGUUAAGUAUUCCACCUGGGGAGUACGCCGGCAACGGUGAAACUCAAAGGAAUUGACGGGGGCCCGCACAAGCGGAGGAACAUGUGGUUUAAUUCGAUGAUACGCGAGGAACCUUACCCGGGCUCAAACGACACAGGAACGUACCUGAAAGGGUUCGGCUCUACGGAGCCUGUGUCGAGGUGCUGCAUGGUUGUCGUCAGCUCGUGCCGUGAGGUGUCGGCUUAAGUGCCAUAACGAGCGCAACCCCCAUCGACAGUUGCUAACAGGUCAGGCUGAGGACUCUGUCGAGACUGCCGGCGCAAGCUGCGAGGAGGGCGGGGAUGACGUCAAAUCAGCACGGCCCUUACGUCCGGGGCGACACACGUGUUACAAUGGCAGGUACAGCGGGAAGCCACCUGGCGACAGGGAGCGGAACCCGAAAGCCUGUCUCAGUUCGGAUUGGAGUCUGCAACCCGACUCCAUGAAGCUGGAUUCGCUAGUAAUCGCGCAUCAGCCACGGCGCGGUGAAUACGUUCCCGGGCCUUGCACUCACCGCCCGUCA
rnacentral:rRNA from 1 species